rnacentral:lncRNA from 1 species
CAUUGCCCUCUUCACCUUUCCAAUCACACUCCACCUAUACAUCCAUCCUUAGUUACAUUUCUUUACUUUUUUAUUCUUAUUCUCUCAACUUCCUUAACAAUAUUCCUCUCUCUCUCUCUCUCUCUCUCUCUCUCACACACACACACACCUCUCUCUCUCUCUCUCUCUCUCUCUCUCUCUCUCUCUCUCUAUAUAUAUAUAUGUGUGUGUGUGUGUGUGUGUGUGUGUGUGUGUGUGUGUGUUUGUUUAAUGUGUGUAAUUUGAAAACAAAAGUUUGUAUACGUAGAGGAAUA